rnacentral:rRNA from 1 species
GUACACUCCUGCGGGAGGCAGCAGUGGGGAAUAUUGCACAAUGGGCGCAAGCCUGAUGCAGCCAUGCCGCGUGUAUGAAGAAGGCCUUCGGGUUGUAAAGUACUUUCAGCGGGGAGGAAGGCGAUAAGGUUAAUAACCUUGUUGAUUGACGUUACCCGCAGAAGAAGCACCGGCUAACUCCGUGCCAGCAGCCGCGGUAAUACGGAGGGUGCAAGCGUUAAUCGGAAUUACUGGGCGUAAAGCGCACGCAGGCGGUCUGUCAAGUCGGAUGUGAAAUCCCCGGGCUCAACCUGGGAACUGCAUUCGAAACUGGCAGGCUAGAGUCUUGUAGAGGGGGGUAGAAUUCCAGGUGUAGCGGUGAAAUGCGUAGAGAUCUGGAGGAAUACCGGUGGCGAAGGCGGCCCCCUGGACAAAGACUGACGCUCAGGUGCGAAAGCGUGGGGAGCAAACAGGAUUAGAUACCCCUGAGUCCC